UAUUAAAUCAUCAGAAGAUCCAGAAUAAUAAAGUGCAUGCUUAAUUAUCGGAAGAAAUAGAAUCAAGAAGUUUGUUAACUCAAUCCUGCAUGCUGAUUUGUAAUUACAGUAGAUUGGAGUAAGGAUUGGAUCCGGCACUAAAAGACUUCAAGAAGUGGCUUAUUUUAUUAAGUAAAUCAAAUUAAGAAAUAUUAUUUUUAUUAAAAGCUACCUUUGUAAAACAUGGAAUUUAUUUCAUCUAUUUAAAUAAAAUCCGGUGUUUCUAAACUCUGAUAUUUUCCUAACUCACG
rnacentral:lncRNA from 1 species